UAGGGAAUCUUCGGCAAUGGACGAAAGUCUGACAGAGCAACGCCGCGUGAGUGAAGAAGGUUUUCGGAUCGUAAAACUCUGUUGUUUGAGAAGAACAAGAACGUUAGAAUCUCAACGUCCCCUGACGGUAUCUAACCAGAAAGCCACGGCUAACUACGUGCCAGCAGCCGCGGUAAUACGUAGGGGGCAAGCGUUGUCCGGAUUUAUUGGGCGUAAAGCGCGCGCAGGCGGUUUCGUAAGUCUGAUGUGAAAGCCCCCGGCUCAACCGGGGGGGGUGAGUGGAAACUGGGAGACUUGAGUGCAGAAGAGGAGAGUGGAAUUCCAUGUGUAGCGGUGAAAUGCGUAGAUAUAUGGAGGAACACCAGUGGCGAAGGCGGCUCUCUGGUCUGUGACUGACGCUGAGGCGCGAAAGCGUGGGGAGCAAACAGG
rnacentral:rRNA from 1 species